GAGGGUAUAGCUCAAUGCUAGAGUGCUUAGCAUGCACAAGGUCCUGGGUUCAAUUCCCAGUACCUUCA
rnacentral:tRNA from 1 species